rnacentral:rRNA from 1 species
GGUGUUGCAUGGCUGUCGUCAGCUCGUGUCGUGAGAUGUUGGGUUAAGUCCCGCAACGAGCGCAACCCUCAUCCUUAGUUACCAUCAGGUAAUGCUGGGGACUUUAAGGAAACUGCCAGUGAUAAACUGGAGGAAGGUGGGGAUGAUGUCAAGUCGUCAUGGCCCUUAUGGAGUGGGCUACACACGUGCUACAAUGGUGGCUACAAUGGGCUGCAAAGUCGCGAGGCUAAGCUAAUCCCUUAAAAGCCAUCUCAGUUCGGAUUGUACUCUGCAACUCGAGUGCAUGAAGUUGGAAUCGCUAGUAAUCGUGGAUCAGCACGCCACGGUGAAUACGUUCCCGGGUCUUGUACACAC